rnacentral:rRNA from 1 species
AUGGAAGCAGCCGGGAUAAGAAAGCAUACUAUAAUGGACAACUUCAUCAACAGAUACGGUUCGUACGAUAAGUGCGGGCUUAUCAGGAGGGACAUUUACAAUCUUUGCUGCAGAGAAAAAAUGAAGCUCAUUGCAAAGGGUGAUGCAGAAACGGCAGUUGGCAUUAUGAGGAGCAGGAAGGAGAAGGACCCUGAGUUUUUUUGA